CUAGUACUCCCUUCGUCUGGAAUUACUUGUCGCACAAAUAUAUAAAAACGGAUGUAUCUAGAACUAAAAUAAAUCUAGAUACAUAUAUUCCUAUGACAAGUAUUUUCGGACGGAGGGAGGACUAG
rfam:Hordeum vulgare subsp. vulgare, WGS project CAJW01000000 data, contig: morex_contig_1593166